GACGAACGCCGGCGGCGUGCCUAAUACAUGCAAGUAGAACGCUGAAGCUUGGUGCUUGCACCGAGCGGAUGAGUUGCGAACGGGUGAGUAACGCGUAGGUAACCUGCCUGGUAGCGGGGGAUAACUAUUGGAAACGAUAGCUAAUACCGCAUAAUAGCAGUUGUUGCAUGACAACUGUUUAAAAGGUGCAAUUGCAUCACUACCAGAUGGACCUGCGUUGUAUUAGCUAGUUGGUGGGGUAACGGCUCACCAAGGCGACGAUACAUAGCCGACCUGAGAGGGUGAUCGGCCACACUGGGACUGAGACACGGCCCAGACUCCUACGGGAGGCAGCAGUAGGGAAUCUUCGGCAAUGGACGGAAGUCUGACCGAGCAACGCCGCGUGAGUGAAGAAGGUUUUCGGAUCGUAAAGCUCUGUUGUAAGAGAAGAAACGAGUGUGAGAAGUGGAAAAGUUUCAACAACUG
rnacentral:rRNA from 1 species